AGUGAACGCUGGCGGUAGGCCUAACACAUGCAAGUCGAACGGCAGCACAGUAAGAGCUUGCUCUUACGGGUGGCGAGUGGCGGACGGGUGAGGAAUACAUCGGAAUCUACUUUUUCGUGGGGGACAACGUAGGGACACUUACGCUAAUACCGCAUACGUCCUACGGGUGAAAGCAGUGGAUCUUCGGACCUUGCGCGAUUGAAUGAGCCGAUGUCGGAUUAGCUAGUUGGCGGGGUAAAGGCCCACCAAGGCGACGAUCCGUAGCUGGUCUGAGAGGAUGAUCAGCCACACUGGAACUGAGACACGGUCCAGACUCCUACGGGAGGCAGCAGUGGGGAAUAUUGGACAAUGGGCGCAAGCCUGAUCGAGCCAUGCCGCGUGAGUGAAGAAGGCCUUCGGGUUGUAAAGCCCUUUUGUUAGGAAAGAAAAGCAGUGGGUUAAUACCCCGCUGUUCUGACGGUACCCAAAGAGUAAGCACCGGCUAACUUCGUG
rnacentral:rRNA from 1 species